UGCCAUGCUGGGUGGAGGUAAUAAUGUCAUGCUGGGUGGAGGUAAUAAUGCCAUGAUGGGUGGAGGUAAUAAUGUCAUGCUGGGUGGAGGUAACAAUGCCAUGCUGGGUGGAG